UCCUUUCUGUCUCUAGAUUUCUCUCCCAUUUCUCUAUAUCUCUCGCUCAAAUUCGCGGGGUUGGUGGAGAUGAUGCAUGCGAAUGCGUUGGGAGCGACAGAUCGAGCUUUCGUGCGGCCGUUGGAGCGGAGUGUUUUCGUCGCGGCGUUCACAUUGAGGUAAGCUUUUGGAAUUUGGCUUAAUCCUUAAUGCUUAGUGUCCUAAUAGCCUCUAAUGUGUUUAUUAGCAUGUUGAAUCCAUUUAAUUUGGGUUAAUUGGAGCAUAUGUAGAGGCUAGGUUUUUAAAAAUGGUAGAACCUUAGAGCUUUAAUUAUAUGCUCUAGGAAUGGGUUUAGAAGACUCUCUAUAUGAUAUCUACAUGCUAAUUGUUUAAAUCAUGAAUCAAUUUUGAAGCUUAUUGCAAUAGUAGCAUNAUGUUAGGGCUCCAAUUUUGGGGUUUUAUAAAAUGUAUGGGUUUGAUCUAAUUUGACCCUCCGUAAACCAAAUUGCUAGGUAAACGAACGCGUUGGCGAAGUCGGUUCGGCGAUUCGUCGAGCCGUUGCGAAGUUAUUAAAGAAACGGAUGAUUAGGCUUCGUUUUCGCCUGGAGGGCCGAGGCGACAUCGUAUACUCAUGAAAACGGAUUUGAGGCACCGUGGCACAUAAUUGAGGACCUAUAAUUUUCGGGGCUGCGAAGCGGAGCACGGUUGAGGCGUAGUUGCUAUAUCGGGCCGUGCCGGAUACUGGUGCCGCGGGAGGCCGAUUGCAAGUGUCGACAAGCAAUCGGAACGUGAGUUAAGGUGGGUUGUGCUUACCGAAGCGACUAGGUCGCCUUUAUGUCUAAGCAAAUUAAGAAUCCAUGUUGAUGCAUAUAGAUGUAAAUGAAGCAUGAAAAUGAUGCAUGUUAAUAUAAAUGCCAAGUAGAAAUGCGUAAUGAUAUGAUGCAAGUUACAUAAUGCUAGAUGAAUGCAUGAGUUAAUUGUUACAUGAAUGCAUGAAAAUAAUGUUAUAGUAAUAUGUUUGAGGUAAUAUGCAUGUUGAUAAAUUAUGGAACAUGUUGGAUGGCAUAUCAAUGGUCGGCAUAUAUAUGUAGACAUAUUGUGGAAUAUGAUGAAUGAGUGCAUGUUGAUUUAUUGUAGAAUAUACUAGAUGAAUGUAUAUUGACAUAUUGUGGAUUAUGUUAAAUGACACAUGCAUGUUGAACUUGGGUCGAUAAACUCUAGGUGAAUUAGAGAACUCGACAUUGCGAAAACAAUGACAAUAUGAACAUGAUAUGUGACUGGACUAUACUAUAUAUUAGAUCGAGUUGGCAUAUGAUUAGUAUAUGUGGAAACACUUAUGGAUAUUGAACACUUAGAAACAAGUGUGGCAUGAGUCCAAGAAUAUAUAAGUGUAUAUACACAAGUGAUAGUAAAGAAUGCAAAGAAAAGAAUGAUGGAAAUAUUAUGACAUUUCAACCCUAGAGUUAGGUCUUUGAGUAUGUCUUCCUAAAGUUAAGCGAAUGGAUUGAACUUGACAUCCUCAAGAUUUUUGGAUUUGAUCAUUUGAUGCAUACUCCCUUAGUUCUUGCUCGGGUGUGUGGGAUCUCCCUCGCGCGAUGUGCUCCGGAGUCGACAUCACUAGGUUGUAGCGGUUAUCUCCAAGAGGACGGUCCACCCGGGUUUGUAGUGGGUAUUCUCCCGGUUAAUUGGAUUUGGGUUGGUGAGGUUGUUGAGGGCAAAACCUUGGUUAGCAAGUGAUUGUAUAAUAAUUAUGGCAUAGUGACGGUCCUAGUUAGGGAUUCAAGGCCGAGGUGCAAGUGAGACGUCCUUCGCUCGGGCUAGCUUUGUCGGUACUCCGCAGUACGAUUGACUCAGACCGAGUCGGGCGGUUAGCUUUGUAAAGAUAGAUGAAAAUUUAUGAUGUUAAAUGGUAAAUGACAGAAACCUUAAAUGUCAAUUGGAUGAAAGUAGUAUCGAUUGAAUUACUAUUAUUGUAUAGUCGCAUCAUUGCCGGAUCUUAAUAUUGCAUUCGUGAGCAAUGCCAUGGUUUCAUUGUUGCAUAAUCAAGGAUAUUAUCUAUCUGUUUAUUGAACUAACUUGCCAGUUGCCUCCCUUGGACCUAUUG
rnacentral:lncRNA from 1 species